CUUUUCGAGGUAGGAGUCGACUCCUGUGAGGUAUGGUGCUGGGUGCAGAUGCAGUGUGGCUCUGGAUAGCACCUUAUGGACAGUUGUGUCCCCAAGGAAGGAUGAGAAUAGCUACUGAAGUCCUAAAGAGCAAGCCUAACUCAAGCCAUUGGCACACAGGCAUUAGACAGAAAGCUGGAAGUUGAAAUGGUGGAGUCCAACUUGCCUGGACCAGCUUAAUGGUUCUGCUCCUGGUAACGUUUUUAUCCAUGGAUGACUUGCUUGGGACUCAGAAUUCAUGAUUGAAGAAAUGCAGGCAGACCUGUUAUCCUAAACUAGGGUUUUUAAUGACCACAACAAGCAAGCAUGCAGCUUACUGCUUGAAAGGUGAGGAUUGGAAAUGUUGGGACUAUUAUAAUUGCAGAAUACAUGAUGAUCUCAAUCCAACUUGAACUCUCUCACUGAUUACUUGAUGACAAUAAAAUAUCUGAUAUUCUGCA
rnacentral:lncRNA from 1 species